UAUGCCCUAGUGUUAUCUAGGCAUCAACUAGGCACAAAUAAAGCAAACCUAAGAGAGUAGCAAUUUGUAGCUCUUGUUUCUUUUUCACGACUCACAUACAUCUCCUUACCAACUAUGCCUCCAAAAUCAGCGAGAAAGACACCUACAGGUUCUGGAUCCAAAAGAGGUCGCCGUACAUCUCGUGCCACGCCAAAGUCUCUUCAGGAACCAAUGGAAGAAGAGAGUAAGGAUAACGCGGUCGAGCUCAAACAAGAAUUCAAAGUCCCUGAACAAAAGCAUGAGGAGCAUGAGCAACCGUUGAAUGCCAAACCUGUACAGAACAAGAAGGUGGAUGAUGUGAAAGAGUCAAUCGAUCAAUAUGAAAAGGGUGAGCGAUUAGAUUUGGAGGACAAUGACCCUGAAUAUGACCCUGAAGAGUAUGUCACUGUUGAUUAUGAUGAGAGAGGAAUUGAAAAUGAUGAUAUUCAGGAAGAGGGAGAUGAAAUAGAGGAAGUAUCUGAAGAGGUAGAUGUUGAUGAAGAGGAAGAGGGUGAUAUGGUGGAAGAGGAUGUUGAAGAUGUUCAUGAGGAAAUUGAGGGUGAUGAAGAAGAUGAGUAUGCUGGGGAGGAGCAUGCUGAGAUGGUUCAUGCCGCUGAGGAGGAAGAACAUCAUGAAGUUGUUAAAGAAAGGCGUAAGCGGAAGGAAAUUGAAAUAUUUGUUGGUGGUUUGGACAAGGAUGCUACUGAGGAUGAUCUCAGGAAGGUCUUCUGUAAAGUUGGCGAGGUUACCGAAGUGAGGCUUAUGAUGAAUUCUCAUACAAAGAAGAAUAAGGGAUUUGCGUUCCUGCGAUUUGCCACCAUGGAACAAGCAAAACGAGCUUGUACUGAGCUGAAAAAUCCAGUGAUCAAUGGAAAACAGUGUGGUGUCUCUCCAAGUCAAGACAAUGAUACUUUGUUUUUGGGUAACGUAUGCAAGACCUGGACAAAAGAAGCUUUAAAAGAGAAGCUGAAGCAUUAUGGUGUUGACAAUAUUGAGGAUUUGACGUUGGUCGAAGACACUAAUAAUGAGGGACUGAAUCGAGGAUUUGCUUUCUUGGAGUUCUCUUCGCGCUCAGAGGCAAUGGAUGCUUUUAAGCGGUUACAAAAGAGAGAUGUUAUGUUUGGUGUUGAUAGGCCUGCAAAGGUUUCUUUUGAGGAUUCAUUCAUUGAUCCUGGGGAUGAAAUCAUGUCACAGGUCAAAACGGUGUUUGUUGAUGGCCUUUCUGCAUCCUGGGACGAGGAUCGUGUGCGGGAGUUUCUUAAAGAAUAUGGGAAGAUUGAAAAAGUUGAGCUUGCCAGAAAUAUGCCUUCAGCCAAGAGAAAAGACUUCGGAUUUGUCACCUUUGACACCCAUGAAGCUGCAGUUACUUGUGCUAAAAGUAUUAAUAAUGAGGAAUUGGGUGAAGGAGAUAACAAGGUUAAAGUUAGGGCCAGAUUAUCAAGACCCCUUGAGAGGGGCAGAGGGAAAUAUGGUGGACGAGGAGAUUUGCGACCUUGGCGUAUUUCCAUGCAUGGUCCACGUGCCCCUUGGGGUCGUAUAGUGCCACAUAGUCGUGCUAUUCGAGGGACUAGAGUUAGUACACGCGUGCCUCCUGUAGUUAGUCGUGGUUUUAAGCGACCUGCAGGAUCGAGAGAUAGACGGGCUGUGAUGGAUUUGCCUCCUAGGGGAAGACCCACAGCUCCACCAUCUAGCAGAUCAUAUGACCGAAGACCACCUGUUCCCUCAUAUCCAAAGAGUAGCUUGAAGAGGGAGUAUGGACGGCGUGAGGAAAUCCCUCCUCCCAGAAGCAGAGCAAUAGCUGAGUAUCCUUCGAGGGUUCAUUCUGACAGACGUGCAUCCUAUAGGGAUGAGUAUUCUUCCCGUGGCUCUGGUUACCCUGAAUUGCCUAGAGGUACUCACUCUGCAGCAAGGAGAUCUUAUGUUGAUGAUGGAUAUGGGCAACGGUUUGAAAGGCCUCCAUCUUACCGCGAGGGACGUGGUCGUGAAUAUGACUCUGCAUCUGGUUCAAAACGUCCAUACACUGCAGGGGAUGAUGUUCAUCCCCGCUAUGCUGAGGCAGGAGUGCGGCAUUCUCGUGCUCGUUUGGAUUACGAACUUGGCAGUGGAAGCGGCUCCCAUUAUGGAGAUUCAUAUGGUGACAGUAGACUUGGGAGAUCAAAUCUUGGAUAUGGUGGCAGUAGGGGCUCACUUUCUGGUCAAUAUUCUCAUGGGAUGUAUAGCAGUCGUCAGGAUAUGGGUUAUGGUGGAGGCUCCUAUGGUGGAAGUGAUGUAGGUGGAAUGUAUUCAUCCAGCUAUGGUUGACUCGGUUUAUACUAGUCGUGGCAUGGGUGGCAGUGGUUAUACGGGAAGUGGUGGUUCUGGAUCAUACUACUAAAAAGGUGACAUCCGGUAACGGAUGCUGCCGAGGCUUUAAAAGAUUAUGUUAGAAGACUUUAUGUACAUGCUUAUCACUCUUGGAGCGAGAUCCCAAAUAAUAUACGCCAGAUGAUGUUUAAUAACUUAAAGAUAUAUAUUUUUUAGUUAAGCUUAGUAUGCUUUACUUUUUUUAGCUAUCGAUCUAUUGACUUUAUUCAAUUUUUUUAUUUAGACUAUGUGUACUUGAGAUUCGAGGCACAAUCAUGUCACUACGAUCACAUUUGAGAGGAAGGCAUCCGCCAGAUUGUCUACUUGGCUAAAGAAAGCUCGGGAUAGUGCUGAAUGUCCGGAUUGAAUGUUGCCGCAUGUUUUUGAUGAGCUGGGUCUGUAUUGUAACACAUACAAGUUUAAGGCGAUAUCAAACCAAGCCAAAAAGAAAAGGCUAGAGGCAGUUUAAUGGUGGCUCGUUGCACACCGGAGGUGCAAAGUCGUUGGAACAAUUACAAGAGAGAUGAUAAGUUCUAAUUCAAACUUUUAAAUAAAUAAUUAUUUGAUUCAUAUAUAUCAUAUAAAUUUCAAUUUUUUAUGUAUAGGAAAAAGAAUUGGGACGCACUCCUAUUGCACGGGAGGUUUUUAGGAAGACUCAUGUCAAUUAGAAAGAAAAUGAGUCGGAUCCGGAUGUGUGGGUGGAAGAAAGAGGCAAACGAACUUUUUAAAAAUGAGUUUUAGAAGUACGUCGCUGAGAAUAUAGAUAGGUCUGUUCAAUUGAUACAUGAACUUUUCACGCGGAUUUGGAAAGCAAAAUUAGUUUGGGGACACACAAGGGUAGAGUCUAUGGCCUAGGCUCUCUAAACGAUGUAAGACGACUCCAGUCAGGCUUAGAAGGAAUUGCAUCAUCAAGUCAAGUCGAGUUACUUGACGGUGUUCAGGUUGCUGCUAUGUUGGAUCAAAUAGCUAAACUUACCACUGCGCUGGAAGAGUUGAAUCAUAGAUGAGUAGCUGAACAAGAAAACAUGAGUGCGACCGUUCAGCAAAUCAAAGAACAAAUGAUGAACCUCGGUCGCCGACCUACUACUUCGGCUCCUGAUGACACUUACGACAGUACUGAUGAUGAGGAUGAUUGUAUAGAACCCACUCCCUAGUUUAGAUUUCUACACAUUUAUGAUUUUCUUGAAA